ensembl:lncRNA
CAGCUGACCUCUUGGUGUAGACAACAGGAAGGGUUUCCAAGUAUAUUUGUUUUAAAGUUGAUGUUCACUGCUUUGGAAAAGCCAAAAUAUUAGCAGUUAAAUUUUAUCAAGAAAUGCUUCUGUCUCUCCUCUGAUUUUGUAGACCAUUGUACAUGGAACUUCCAUACUCAACCAUAGGUCAGCUAAAAACAGAAAUUGAAACAUACAGCUGGACAAGAUGACAUAACUGAUUCAAAAACUACAAGAUAUGUAAGAAGUGACUCCUGCAUCAAAUCUAUAACAUCUCUGUGAGCUACAGCUUAUCCCUGAGAAAAACAACCACUAUUGAUUUGAAGAGAUCGGGUAAUUGAAGAGCUAUCAUAUUCCAAGUUUUUCCACUACAUGAAAGACCUGUCUCUACAGAUAUCUUCCUUAGGCAGAAGCAGUGCUUAUGUGACAGAUGUUCUGAACACAUCAUCAAAGAACAUGAAUGCACUUUCAAAUAAGAGCUUCCAUUGCAUGCUCAAGGAAAGAAAAAGAAAUAUAUAUAUAUAUAAUGUAUUUAUCUAAAUGAAUAAACAGCAAUAGCUGAUAAUUAUUUCAGAGGUGGAAAAGCACAUUGCAGCAGUUAAUCCACUGUAGGGUUUUGCAGGUUUCACUUGCUAAGUAUUCUGAGUGUCAUGUUAAGUGAAUGUGAGGGAAGCCACAGUGAGUCAGUCCACCACACAGGCACAAGCAGCUACCAACUACAGUCACUCACUGUUCUCCUCAAUAUUGUCCUCUCAGUGGGUUCCUAUGUGUAUCCCAGACCACAGCGCUGACAAUCUCACUGUGGCCAAAGCAGCUAAGAAGUCUGAGCUUCUUAAUUGGAAAUUAAGGGCCCAAGUAACACAGGCAGACAAAGUUUCUGUCCCAGCUGGCUGUGGAUCCUGGGGCUUCUCAUGGGGACUCUGAGCUGCUCUCUCCUGACACAAUAAGGGGACCCAGCCCUGGGUGCGGGCCCUGGCUUGGUCCACCAAGCCCAGCCACUGAGCAACACCCAGCCUUGCAGGCUGAUGAGCUACUGGGGCUUCUCCUCCACACCAAGCCAGCAUUCAGUGUGCAGCCAGUGCAAACAUCCUCUUCAUCAGGAGUUCUCCUAAAAUUCCUCUUCCCUCCCACUUUCCUCAGGUGAGGAGUGGCUAAUAGACCCAGUGAGAUGGCAGCCACACUUUCAUUUGUUCCAUUUCUGCAGCACUGUCCAUUUACAAGUCCCUGUUGAACAGCUCCAGUGGCUGCUCCAGCCCUGAGGAAGGCAAUCUGAGAAACACUGAGGUCUUCUACGGGGCAAUUUCCCUAUUUGUCAAGCUCUCAUUACCUUCCUUCCAUAAAUCUUUCCAGUUUCCUUCCCACACAGAUGCAGCAAAUGCCUAAUGUAAGAUGUGGGGAGUGCUGCUCCCCGGUUCAGCCAUUAAUCCUCCAGGGAAGGAAAAACUUAUUGAAGUUUACUUCAUAUUCUUCCCCGUUACACUUGGAGAAAAGCAAAGAUUUGAUUACUAAAUAGAGCUCCACAGUCUGCAGCCAUGUAAUUGCAUGUUAUGCCAGCAAAUUCUGUAACUAAACUCCUUCAUGUCUGCUCACAUGGCAGAAAAACCCUUAGCCAAGGAAUUAGUAUAGAAGAAGACAGAGAUCUGCUUUACCCUGACAUGUCCAGGUCUAAAUCACAACAUAGAGCUGUGAAGUCUUCAUUUAUACCAGGACUGAGAUGCUGUGGGAAAAUGGAGGAGCCGGAUCCGAAGACUGCAGGGAAGGCAGGAUUUGCCCACAGUGUUGUGAGCCAUAGCAGACAUUUGGGCUGAGCUUUGUUGCAGGGUUGAAGAUGUUGUGCUCCCUGCAUAAGCUCCUACAAGCUGCAGUGAAGGCACUGCAAUAUGCCUGUUCUUAUUAUUUCCUUUAUACUAUACAUCCCUUCCCAUUAGACACGAGAGGAUCCCAUUUUCAGUGUAGAAUGCAUGAGUGAGAACAAGGACAGAAAGAUAAGAGAACUGUGCAAAACCUCAUCCUUCUGUUUUUUUACUGCCCUUGUCAUCUAUCACAAGACUGACUGCUUCUCUUGUUUUUGUCUUUUUUUCUUUUUCCUCCAGCAUAUUUGUAAAUGUUAUUUACUUAUUGUCACUAACUCCUUUGGGCUGUCUACUUUAAUUUUUUAUCACAAAUUGUGACCGGCAGCAUUUUGUUGCUGCUACUUUCUUCAUUAAUUUGUAUCUUACUGUUUCAGCAACAAUAAACAGUCUUCAGCCCUGCCACAAUUUGUGUUCCAUUUUGGACUAAAAUCUCACAGGAAUAUUUACAGUACUCUGAUGCAAGCAGAGCUGAGAAGGACCUGUGGACUUUGUUUUAAUGGUCCUUUCUAAAUAGAGGAAAAAUUAUGACUGAAUAUCAUAUCAGCUCUUCCAUCUUUCUUUUACAUCACUGAGCAUCACCACCAACCAGAACAUUACUAAUUAUACUUGCCUUUUACUAGUAUUUAGAGUCUCCUAAAAAUAACAUUCUACCCUUAAAGCACUUCUGAGCCAAAC